UACGGAGGGUGCAAGCGUUAAUCGGAAUUACUGGGCGUAAAGCGCACGCAGGUGGCUGAGUCAGUCGAUUGUGAAAGCCCUGGGCUUAACCUGGGAAUUGCAGUCGAUACUACUCAGCUAGAGUAUGGGAGAGGGUAGUGGAAUUCCCGGUGUAGCGGUGAAAUGCGUAGAUAUCGGGAGGAACAUCAGUGGCGAAGGCGGCUACCUGGCCCAAUACUGACACUGAGGUGCGAAAGCGUGGGGAGCAAACAGG
rnacentral:rRNA from 1 species